GAGACAUUGGAUCCGGGGGUACGCGCAAGUCGAGCGGAUGAAGGGAGCUUGCUCCUGGAUUCAGCGGCGGACGGGUGAGUAAUGCCUAGGAAUCUGCCUGGUAGUGGGGGAUAACGUCCGGAAACGGGCGCUAAUACCGCAUACGUCCUGAGGGAGAAAGUGGGGGAUCUUCGGACCUCACGCUAUCAGAUGAGCCUAGGUCGGAUUAGCUAGUUGGUGGGGUAAAGGCCUACCAAGGCGACGAUCCGUAACUGGUCUGAGAGGAUGAUCAGUCACACUGGAACUGAGACACGGUCCAGACUCCUACGGGAGGCAGCAGUGGGGAAUAUUGGACAAUGGGCGAAAGCCUGAUCCAGCCAUGCCGCGUGUGUGAAGAAGGUCUUCGGAUUGUAAAGCACUUUAAGUUGGGAGGAAGGGCAGUAAGUUAAUACCUUGCUGUUUUGACGUUACCAACAGAAUAAGCACCGGCUAACUUCGUGCCAGCAGCCGCGGUAAUACGAAGGGUGCAAGCGUUAAUCGGAAUUACUGGGCGUAAAGCGCGCGUAGGUGGUUCAGCAAGUUGGAUGUGAAAUCCCCGGGGCUCAACCUGGGAACUGCAUCCAAAACUACUGAGCUAGAGUACGGUAGAGGGGGGGUGGAAUUUCCCUGGUGUAGCGGUGAAAUGCGUAGAUAUAGGAAGGAACACAGUGGCGAAAGGCGACCACCUGGACUGAUACUGACACUGAGGUGGCGAAAGCGUGGGGAGCAAACAGGAUUAAAUACCCUGGGUAGUCCACCGCCGUAAACAAUGUCGACUAGCCGUUGGGAUCCUUGAGAUCUUAGUGGCGCAGCUAACGCGAUAAGUCGACCGCCCUGGGGAGUACGGCCCCAGGUAAAAGUCAAAUGAAUUGACGGGGGCCGGCACAGGGGUGGGGCAUGUGGUUUAAUGUGAAGCAACGAGACAAGCUACC
rnacentral:rRNA from 1 species